rnacentral:rRNA from 1 species
AUUGAACGCUGGCGGAAUGCUUUACACAUGCAAGUCGAACGGCAGCACGGACUUCGGUCUGGUGGCGAGUGGCGAACGGGUGAGUAAUACAUCGGAACGUGCCCAAUCGUGAGGGAUAACGUAGCGAAAGCUACGCUAAUACCGCAUACGAUCUAAGGAUGAAAGCGGGGGAUCGCAAGACCUCGCGCGAUUGGAGCGGCCGAUGGCAGAUUAGGUAGUUGGUAGGGUAAAGGCCUACCAAGCCGACGAUCUGUAGCUGGUCUGAGAGGAUGAUCAGCCACACUGGGACUGAGACACGGCCCAGACUCCUACGGGAGGCAGCAGUGGGGAAUUUUGGACAAUGGACGCAAGUCUGAUCCAGCCAUUCCGCGUGCAGGAUGAAGGCCCUCGGGUUGUAAACUGCCUUUGUACGGAACGAAACGGUGAGCUCUAAUACAGUUUGCUAAUGACGGUACCGUAAGAAUAAGCACCGGCUAACUACGUGCCAGCAGCCGCAGUAA